CGCCAGGGUACUACGAGCAUAGCUUAAAACCCAAAGGACUUGGCGGUGUCUCAGACCCACCUAGAGGAGCCUGUUCUAGAACCGAUAAUCCCCGUUAAACCUCACCACUUCUUGUUAAUCCCGCCUAUAUACCGCCGUCGCCAGCUUACCCCAUGAGGGUUAAACAGUAAGCAAAAUGGACAAACCCCAGAACGUCAGGUCGAGGUGUAGCGCACGAAGUGGGAAGAAAUGGGCUACAUUUUCUAUAGCAGAAAAUAACGAAUGGUCUACUGAAACACAUACCUGAAGGAGGAUUUAGCAGUAAAAAGCAAAUAGAGAGUCCUUUUGAAUCAGGCUCUGAGACACGC
rnacentral:rRNA from 1 species